rnacentral:rRNA from 1 species
UACGGAGGAUGCGAGCGUUAUCCGGAUUUAUUGGGUUUAAAGGGUGCGUAGGCGGAUUUUUAAGUCAGCGGUAAAAUGUCCGGGCCCAACCCGGGCCGGCCGUUGAAACUGGGGAUCUUGAGUGGGCGAGAAGUAUGCGGAAUGCGUGGUGUAGCGGUGAAAUGCAUAGAUAUCACGCAGAACUCCGAUUGCGAAGGCAGCAUACCGGCGCCCGACUGACGCUGAGGCACGAAAGCGUGGGGAUCGAACAGG